GUUAUAGGGACAAGCGAAUAAGUGCACAUGGUGGAUGCCUUGGCGAUUACAGGCGAUGAAGGACGUAGUAGCUUGCGAUAAGCUGCGGGGAGUGAGCAAACACACUUUGAUCCGCAGAUUUCCGAAUGGGGCAACCCACCCUUUUAGGGUAUUGCAUACUGAAUACAUAGGUAUGCAAGGCGAACGCGGCGAACUGAAACAUCUAAGUAGCUGCAGGAAAAGAAAUCAACCGAGAUUCCCAAAGUAGCGGCGAGCGAAAUGGGAAGAGCCUGUACGUGAUAGUCGGACCGAUAACAGAAUCCUCUGGAAAUAGGAGCCAUAGYGGGUGAUAGCCCCGUAUGUGAAAUCGGACCGGUGRUACUAAGCGUACGACAAGUAGGGCGGGACACGUGACAUCCUGUCUGAAUAUGGGGGGACCAUCCUCCAAGGCUAAAUACUCGUAAUCGACCGAUAGUGAACCAGUACCGUGAGGGAAAGGCGAAAAGAACCCCGGAAGGGGAGUGAAAUAGAUCCUGAAACCGUGUGCAUACAAACAGUAGGAGCGGACUUGUUCCGUGACUGCGUACCUUUUGUAUAAUGGGUCAGCGACUUACAUUCAGUGGCAAGGUUAACCRRAUAGGGAAGCCGUAGAGAAAUCGAGUCCGAAUAGGGCGAUCAGUCGCUGGGUGUAGACCCGAAACCAAGUGAUCUACUCAUGGCCAGGAUGAAGGUGCGGUAACACGCCCUGGAGGUCCGAACCCACUAAUGUUGAAAAAUUAGGGGAUGAGCUGUGGGUAGGGGUGAAAGGCUAAACAAACUUGGAAAUAGCUGGUUCUCUCCGAAAACUAUUUAGGUAGUGCCUCAAGUAUCACCAUCGGGGGUAGAGCACUGUUAUGGCUAGGGGGUCAUUGCGACUUACCAAACCAUUGCAAACUCCGAAUACCGAUGAGUGCGAGCUUGGGAGACAGACGUCGGGUGCUAACGUCCGGCGUCAAGAGGGAAACAACCCAGACCGCCAGCUAAGGUCCCAAAGAUUGGCUAAGUGGAAAACGAAGUGGGAAGGCUAAAACAGUCAGGAUGUUGGCUUAGAAGCAGCCAUCAUUUAAAGAAAGCGUAAUAGCUCACUGAUCGAGUCGUCCUGCGCGGAAGAUGUAACGGGGCUAAGCCAGUCACCGAAGCUGCGGAUAUCCUUUAUUGGAUAUGGUAGGAGAGCGUUCUGUAAGCCUGCGAAGGUGUCUUGUAAAGGAUGCUGGAGGUAUCAGAAGUGCGAAUGCUGACAUGAGUAGCGAUAAUGGGGGUGAAAAGCCUCCACGCCGUAAGCCCAAGGUUUCCUGUUCAACGUUCAUCGGAGCAGGGUGAGUCGGCCCCUAAGGCGAGGCAGAGAUGCGUAGCUGAUGGGAAGCAGGUUAAUAUUCCUGCACCGUCGUAUGAUGCGAUGGGGGGACGGAUCGCGGAAGGUUGUCCAAGGGAGUGGGACGAGUGCACUUGUGCACGAAGCAAUCGGAAGUGGUUCCAAGAAAAGCCUCUAAGCUUCAGUCAUACGAGACCGUACCGCAAACCGACACAGGUGGGCGAGAUGAGUAUUCUAAGGCGCUUGAGAGAACUCGGGAGAAGGAACUCGGCGCAAUAAACUGGUGGCUGCGACUGUUUAAUAAAAACACAGCACUCUGCAAACACGAAAGUGGACGUAUAGGGUGUGACGCCUGCCCGGUGCUGGAAGAUUAAAUGAUGGGGUGCAAGCUCUUGAUUGAAGUCCCAGUAAACGGCGGCCGUAACUAUAACGGUCCUAAGGUAGCGAAAUUCCUUGUCGGGUAAGUUCCGACCUGCACGAAUGGCGUAACGAUGGCCACACUGUCUCCUCCCGAGACUCAGCGAAGUUGAAAUGUUUGUGAUGAUGCAAUCUACCCGCGGCUAGACGGAAAGACCCCAUGAACCUUUACUGUAGCUUUGCAUUGGACUUUGAACCAAUCUGUGUAGGAUAGGUGGGAGGCUUUGAAGCGGGGACGCUAGUUCUCGUGGAGCCAACCUUGAAAUACCACCCUGGUUUGUUUGAGGUUCUAACCUUGGUCCGUUAUCCGGAUCGGGGACAGUGCAUGGUAGGCAGUUUGACUGGGGCGGUCUCCUCCUAAAGUGUAACGGAGGAGUUCGAAGGUACGCUAGAUACGGUCGGACAUCGUGUUGAUAGUGCAAUGGCAUAAGCGUGCUUAACUGCGAGACUGACAAGUCGAGCAGGUACGAAAGUAGGACAUAGUGAUCCGGUGGUUCUGUAUGGAAGGGCCAUCGCUCAACGGAUAAAAGGUACUCUGGGGAUAACAGGCUGAUUCCUCCCAAGAGUUCAUAUCGACGGGGGAGUUUGGCACCUCGAUGUCGGCUCAUCACAUCCUGGGGCUGUAGCCGGUCCCAAGGGUAUGGCUGUUCGCCAUUUAAAGUGGUACGUGAGCUGGGUUUAAAACGUCGUGAGACAGUUUGGUCCCUAUCUGCCGUGGGCGUUGGAAAUUUGAAGGGGGCUGCUCCUAGUACGAGAGGACCGGAGUGGACGAACCUCUGGUGUACCGGUUGUCACGCCAGUGGCAUUGCCGGGUAGCUAAGUUCGGAAGAGAUAACCGCUGAAAGCAUCUAAGCGGGAAACUUGCCUUGAGAUGAGAUUUCCCAGAGCCUUGAGCUCUUUGAAGGGUCGUUCGAGACCAGGACGUUGAUAGGCUGGGUGUGGAAGUGCAGUAAUGCAUUAAGCUAACCAGUACUAAUUGCCCGUACGGCUUGUCCCUAUAACCUUAGCAGGU
rnacentral:rRNA from 1 species